rnacentral:rRNA from 1 species
UACGAAGGGUGCAAGCGUUACUCGGAAUCACUGGGCGUAAAGCGCACGUAGGCGGCUUUGUAAGUUAGAGGUGAAAGCCCAGGGCUUAACCCUGGAAUUGCCUUUAAGACUGCAUCGCUAGAAUUGUGGAGAGGUAAGUGGAAUUCCGAGUGUAGAGGUGAAAUUCGUAGAUAUUCGGAAGAACACCAGUGGCGAAGGCGACUUACUGGACACAUAUUGACGCUGAGGUGCGAAAGCGUGGGGAGCAAACAGG